rnacentral:rRNA from 1 species
GACGAACGCUGGCGGCGUGCUUAACACAUGCAAGUCGAACGGAAAGGCCCUGCUUUUGUGGGGUGCUCGAGUGGCGAACGGGUGAGUAACACGUGAGUAACCUGCCCUUGACUUUGGGAUAACUUCAGGAAACUGGGGCUAAUACCGGAUAGGAGCUCCGGCUGCAUGGUGGGGGUUGGAAAGUUUCGGCGGUUGGGGAUGGACUCGCGGCUUAUCAGCUUGUUGGUGGGGUAUUGGCUUACCAAGGCUUUGAGGGGUAGCCGGCCUGAGAGGGUGACCGGCCACAUUGGGACUGAGAUACGGCCCAGACUCCUACGGGAGGCAGCAGUGGGGAAUAUUGCACAAUGGGCGGAAGCCUGAUGCAGCAACGCCGCGUGCGGGAUGACGGCCUUCGGGUUGUAAACCGCUUUCGCCUGUGACGAAGCGUGAGUGACGGUAAUGGGUAAAGAAGCACCGGCUAACUACGUG